GAUGAACGCUGGCGGCGUGCUUAACACAUGCAAGUCGAACGAAGCACUUUAACCGAUUUCUUCGGAAUGAAGUUUUUGUGACUGAGUGGCGGACGGGUGAGUAACGCGUGGGUAACCUGCCUCACACAGGGGGAUAACAGUUGGAAACGGCUGCUAAUACCGCAUAAGCGCACAGUACCGCAUGGUACAGUGUGAAAAACUCCGGUGGUGUGAGAUGGACCCGCGUCUGAUUAGCUAGUUGGCAGGGUAACGGCCUACCAAGGCGACGAUCAGUAGCCGACCUGAGAGGGUGACCGGCCACAUUGGGACUGAGACACGGCCCAAACUCCUACGGGAGGCAGCAGUGGGGAAUAUUGCACAAUGGGGGAAACCCUGAUGCAGCGACGCCGCGUGAGCGAAGAAGUAUUUCGGUAUGUAAAGCUCUAUCAGCAGGGAAGAAGAAAUGACGGUACCUGACUAAGAAGCACCGGCUAAAUACGUGCCAGCAGCCGCGGUAAUACGUAUGGUGCAAGCGUUAUCCGGAUUUACUGGGUGUAAAGGGCGUGUAGGCGGGACUGCAAGUCAGAUGUGAAAACCAUGGGCUCAACCUGUGGCCUGCAUUUGAAACUGUAGUUCUUGAGUGUCGGAGAGGUAAUCGGAAUUCCUAGUGUAGCGGUGAAAUGCGUAGAUAUUAGGAGGAACACCAGUGGCGAAGGCGGAUUACUGGACGAUAACUGACGCUGAGGCGCGAAAGCGUGGGGAGCAAACAGG
rnacentral:rRNA from 1 species